GGCAUAAGAAGCCCCACGAAACCUGGAUCCAUCACUGAAGAUUUACUGAGGUUCCUGGCCGCACCCCGAGGCCUCGCAGCCAUUCAGGGAUUUCUGCUCCUUCCACAUCGACCCUUUGUAAAGCCAGGACUCAGGAUCAGCUCCAUCCCGCUCGGGAGCCUUGGAGGCGCGGCUUCCCGGUUCACGUUUUACAGUCCCACCUGCUGGGGGCCGAGGAUUAAGUAAACCCGCCAGAAGGGCACAGUCCAGGCGGCGGGAGAGGAAGGGGUUAAACCUUCCCUCUGGGGGCUCGCCCCGCCCACAGCGCGUCACUUAGGCCACGCCCCUACACGCUGAUUGGUCCCAGCCUUCCCCAAGCCUCCUGCGCGCCGCCGGCCGGGUCGACGCAGCCUUCCAGCGCUUAGCGGCCUCUCCUUGAAGAUGUCGGAGCAGUGGCCGCCGGACCCCGUGCGGGCCGUGAGGCUCUCGGAUGCGGCGGGACCGAGGGACACACAGGCACUGCUGUCUGCAACACAGGCCAUGGAGCUGCAGAGGCGAGACUACCACGUGGAGCGGCCGCUGCUGAACCAGCAGCAGCUGGAGGAGCUGGGGCACUGGGGCCCAGCGCCAAGGACCCACCAGUGGCGAACCUGGUUGCAAUGCUCCCGUGCUCGGGCCUAUGCCCUCCUGCUCCGGCACUUCCCCAUCCUGGCCUGGCUACCUCGCUAUCCUGUGCGUGACUGGCUCCUGGGUGACGUGUUGUCUGGCCUGAGCGUGGCCAUCAUGCAGCUCCCACAAGGCUUGGCCUAUGCCCUCCUGGCUGGAUUGCCUCCUGUGUUCGGCCUCUACAGCUCCUUCUACCCUGUCUUCGUCUACUUCCUGUUUGGCACUUCCCGGCACAUCUCCGUGGGGACCUUUGCUAUCAUGUCUGUGAUGGUGGGCAGUGUGACAGAAUCCCUGGCCCCGGAUGAGGACUUCAUGGACAUCACAAACUCCACAGUCAACGAGUCUGCCAGGGACACCUACCGGGUGCAGCUGGCCUCCACGCUCAGUGUCCUGGUCGGCCUCUUCCAGGUAGGGCUGGGCCUGGUGCGCUUCGGCUUCGUGGUCACCUACCUGUCAGAGCCUCUGGUGCGCAGCUACACCACGGCUGCGUCCGUGCAAGUCUUCAUCUCACAGCUCAAGUACGUGUUUGGCCUGCAGCUGAGCAGCCGCUCUGGGCCACUCUCCCUCAUCUAUACAGUGCUGGAGGUCUGCUGGAAGCUGCCCCAGACCGUGGUCGGCACCCUGGUCACCGCGCUCGUGGCAGGGGUGGUGCUCGUGGCCGUGAAGCUGCUCAGUGAGAAGCUGCGACGCUACCUCCCGCUGCCCAUACCCGGGGAGCUGCUCACGCUCAUCGGGGCCACGGCCAUCUCCUAUGGUGUGGGCCUACAGCGGCGGUUCGGGGUGGAUGUUGUGGGCAACAUCCCAGCGGGGCUGGUCCCUCCGAUGGCCCCCAACUCACUGCUCUUUGCAAAGCUUGUGGGAAAUGCCUUUGCCAUCGCUGUGGUGGGAUUCGCCAUCGCCAUCUCGCUAGGGAAGAUCUUCGCCCUGAGGCACGGCUACCGUGUGGACAGCAACCAGGAGCUGGUGGCCCUGGGCCUCAGUAACCUCAUCGGGGGCAUCUUCCGGUGCUUCCCCGUGAGUUGCUCCAUGUCUCGCAGCCUGGUGCAGGAGACCACUGGGGGCAACACGCAGAUCGCUGGAGCCAUCUCUUCCCUCGUCCUCCUCCUCAUUAUUCUCAAACUCGGGGAGCUCUUCCGAGACCUGCCCAAGGCAGUCCUGGCCGCUGUCAUCAUCGUGAACUUGAAGGGCAUGCUGAUGCAGUUCAAGGACAUCCCCUCCCUCUGGAAGGCAAACCAGAUGGAUCUGCUCAUCUGGCUGGUGACCUUCGUGGCCACCAUCCUGCUGAACCUGGACCUCGGCCUGGCUGUUGCCAUAGUCUUCUCGCUGCUGCUCACGGUGGUCCGAACGCAGCUGCCCCGCUACUCUGUCCUGGGCCGGGUGACAGACACGGAUAUUUACCGAGACCUGGCCGAGUACGCAGAGGCCAGGGAGGUCCCCGGUGUGAAGGUCUUCCGCUCCUCAGCCACGCUGUUCUUUGCCAAUGCUGAGUUCUACAGUGACGCACUCAAACAGCGGUGCGGGGUGGACGUCGACUACCUCCUGUCCCGGAAGAAGAAGCUGAUGAAGAAGCGGGAGCUCCAGCAGAAGCGGCUGAAGAAAAACAAGCGGCCCCGGACCCAGGCUGCUCCGUCCAAGGACACCUCUGUUUCCGUCAAUGUCAACGCCAGCCCGGAAGACAUCAAGAGCAAUGAUGUGGACGACUCCAAGGCCAAGGUAAACCCAGGAGCUGAACUGGAGGACGCAGUGGCCAGCAACCAAGAAGACGCCAAGGCCUCAGACGGGUCCACGCUGAAGGCCCUGGGCCUGCCCCAGCCAGACUUCCACAGUCUUGUCUUGGACCUGAGUACCCUCUCCUUCGUGGACACUGUGUGCAUCAAGAGCCUGAAAAAUAUCUUCCGUGACUUCCGGGAGAUCGAGGUGGAGGUGUACAUCGCAGCCUGUCACAGCCCUGUCGUCGCCCAGCUGGAGGCCGGGCACUUCUUUGAUGGAUCCAUCACCAAGCAGCAUCUCUUUGUCUCUGUCCACGACGCCGUCACCUUUGCCCUCCAGCACCCGAGGUCUGGUCCCAGCAGCCCUGUUUUGGCCACCAAACUCUGACCAUGCUGCCACCCUGCCUGAGACUGCCUACCUCCAGAGGCUGUAACAGGGCAGAGUGACAGAGACAGACAGAGGUCUUCCAUCUGCUGGUUCACUCCCCAGGAGCCUGGAACUCCAUCCUGGUCUCCCAAGUCGGUGGCAGGGAUCCAAGGACUCGGGCCGUCCCCUGCCUCCUUCCCAGGUGCAUUAGCAGGGAGCUGGAUCAGAAAAGGCCAGGACAUGAACCUGCAACCUACGCUCCGGCGACAUAGGAUGUGGGUGUGUUCUGCAGUGGCUUAACCCCAUGCCAUGCCUCCAGCUCUCACUGGGACUGUGGGAGGAGCCACUCUCGGAGGGAGGGAGGGGGGAGGGCUGUGAGGCCGAGGCCACGUGGAGGGGUCCCGUGAGCAGCACUGGCUUGGUGUGGGUGGAGCAGCAGGCUCUAGGGGCUGUGGGGUGGUAGAAGUUAGGGGUGGAGGACAAGAGGGUGUCCCUUCCCCCUUGGCCUGCCAGGCCAGCCAGGGGAGUAGGCCUCAGCCGACUUAUCCUCCUCCAGCCCCCUACCCACCCAGCUACCUUGUGCUGGAACUGCUGGCUCAGCCAGGCUGCCUUCUCCUGGGGGAGGGGCGUUUGCCUGUUGCCAGGCGCCCAGGUUCCGGUCACUGGGCACUGGCCGCAGCCAU